rnacentral:lncRNA from 1 species
GGAAAACAAACAGGCAAAAACUGAAGAAAGGAAUCCAAGUGAGCUGUAGCCAAGAUAGAAGUAACUAAAAUGGAGACAACUCCAACUUUUCCCUGGUGGGAUAAAUACUCUGGGUUUACCUAUGAGCAUUUCUGGGAGUUAAAAAAAAAAAAGCACCUUGAAAAAGACUGCUACUCUAAGGAGGAGACCCUGGAGGCCUUGGCUGACUCACUCAAACUGACGAAAGGAGACAUCAGGAUUUGGUUCUUCCGGAAAAGGUGUGGGAUGAAACUUAAGCGGUUGUUUAAGGCCCACAAGAAUUGGAAAAUGUGCUUUCACCACUGUACAUAGUGGGACCACUAGGCAGAACCCCAAGGAGUCCUCUUAAAAUGACCCUGAAGUCGAAAGCUUUGGAAGCCUUGAAGAGUCUCACACUCUCUUCUGGGUAGCAAAGCAGAGACAGCAUGUCAUAGGAUUUCUGUCUCCCUGGCAGAGACUUUUUUUGUUAAUGGUUUUUCAACUUUCUUCUUGGGGCAGGGGGCUCUUGGGUUUUAUGUCUCUAGAUGACACAUGAAUAGUAAAGCUUGCAUUCAUAGAAACUAAAAAGAAAAAAGAAAAAA